UACAGAGGUCUCAAGCGUUGUUCGGAUUCAUUGGGCGUAAAGGGUGCGUAGGCGGCGCGGUAAGUCGGUUGUGAAAUCUUGGAGCUUAACUCCGAAACUGCAUUCGAUACUGCCGUGCUUGAGGACUGGAGAGGAGACUGGAAUUUACGGUGUAGCGGUGAAAUGCGCAGAUAUCGGGAGGAACACCGGUGGCGAAGGCGGUUCUCUGGGCCUGUACUGACGCUGAGGAGCGAAAGCGUGGGGAGCGAACAGG
rnacentral:rRNA from 1 species